rnacentral:rRNA from 1 species
GAUGAACGCUGGCGGCGUGCCUAAUACAUGCCAGUCGAGCGAACGGACGAGAAGCUUGCUUCUCUGAUGUUAGCGGCGGACGGGUGAGUAACACGUGGAUAACCUACCUAUAAGACUGGGAUAACUUCGGGAAACCGGAGCUAAUACCGGAUAAUAUUUUGAACCGCAUGGUUCAAAAGUGAAAGACGGUCUUGCUGUCACUUAUAGAUGGAUCCGCGCUGCAUUAGCUAGUUGGUAAGGUAACGGCUUACCAAGGCAACGAUUCAUAGCCGACCUGAGAGGGUGAUCGGCCACACUGGAACUGAGACACGGUCCAGACUCCUACGGGAGGCAGCAGUAGGGAAUCUUCCGCAAUGGGCGAAAGCCUGACGGAGCAACGCCGCGUGAGUGAUGAAGGUCUUCGGAUCGUAAAACUCUGUUAUUAGGGAAGAACAUAUGUGUAAGUAACUGUGCACAUCUUGACGGUACCUAAUCAGAAAGCCACGGAUAACUACGUG